rnacentral:lncRNA from 1 species
ACUGUAACAUAGCUAUAACUAUAUAACUAUAUAACAUAACUAUAACAUAGCUAUAACUAUGUAACUAUAUAACAUAACUAUAACAUAGCUAUAACUAUGUAACUAUAUAACAUAACUAUAACAUAGCUAUAACUAUAUAACAUAACUAUAACAUAGCUAUAACUAUAUAAUAACAUAGCUAUAACUAUAUAACAUAACUAUAACAUAGCUAUAACUAUAUAACAUAACUAUAACAUAGCUAUAACUAUAUAACUAUAUAACAUAACUAUAACAUAGCUAUAACUAUGUAACUAUAUAACAUAACUAUAACAUAGCUAUAACUAUGUAACUAUAUAACAUAACUAUAACAUAGCUAUAACUAUAUAAAGUAACUAUAACAUAGC